rnacentral:rRNA from 1 species
ACAGCAGCAGCCACGGUAAUACGUAGGGUGCGAGCGUUAAUCGGAAUUACUGGGCGUAAAGCGUGCGCAGGCGGUUGUGUAAGACAGGUGUGAAAUCCCCGGGCUUAGCCUGGGAACUGCGCUUGUGACUGCACAGCUAGAGUAUGGCAGAGGGGGGUGGAAUUCCACGUGUAGCAGUGAAAUGCGUAGAGAUGUGGAGGAACACCGAUGGCGAAGGCAGCCCCCUGGGCCAAUACUGACGCUCAUGCACGAAAGCGUGGGGAGCAAACAGGAUUAGAUACCCCCGUAGUCCCUGUCUCUUAUAC